rnacentral:rRNA from 1 species
UAGCAUCGAUGAAGAACGCAGCGAAACGCGAUAUGUAAUGUGAAUUGCAGAAUUCAGUGAAUCAUCGAAUCUUUGAACGCACAUUGCGCCUUCCAGUAUUCUGGGAGGCAUGCCUGUCCGAGCGUCGUUUCAACCCUCAAGCCCUCGUGGUUUGGUGUU